AGCCAUUAAACCAAAAUCAAUGAAGUAUCUACUCUUGUCAAUUAGAUGUGGUCAAAGUGUUGUAGCUUGGGAGGACGCUUGUAGAUGUCGUCCAUCACAUCCCACUCUGUCUCUUGCAACUCGAAGCAAGAACCCGAAUCUGCAACAAUAACUUCAUGUAGUUAGAUCAAAUUACAUUAAAUGAAGAAAAACACAUAAGAUGAGGCACUCACGUGCUUUAUAGUACUGGUCGGUACUGUGCAUGCUUGAACUCUAUCUCCUUCAACUACUUGCCACCGAGCCACCCCUUUAUUGAUGAGGACAGGCGUACUACAAAAUGGGCGUAAGCUCCCCAAGAGGUGAGGUAGUACCACCCAUUUGACUCAUCUUCCCCUAAUACCCUAGGCUGGAAGAGAGUCUAAAUGACAUACAUAGGCAUGUCCUCACCCAAGGAUACUUCCUUCCACAGGAAGUAGGCUCCAACCAACUAGAUUCACCCGUUGGGUAGAACCUAGGUCAGAGCCAGCAUGAAAUUUCUCAGCACUGCCCUAUCAAAAGGUUGUAGAGGCAGACUCAUACCUACUUUGAAUAGGUACUCACUCACUGCCACACUUUUUGGCCUCGAAAAGUAGGUACAUUCAUGGGCCUCGGGUACUAGGAGUUCAAUGUAAUGGGCUAUGCUAUACUUCUCCAUCAAUUCGGCUAAUUUUUUGGAAGUUAUGGCAGAAAGUAUUUUGCGACCCUCCAAUCCAACUCGUAAUCUAUAGGCUCCUCGUACAUGUCACAAAACUCUCUUCAAUCCCCAACCGAAACCUCAUCCCUGAGCCUAGCAAUAGUAACCAAAUCCUUGGCAGCCUUAGAAUCCAUUAGAGGAGACAAAAUUUAUGACGACUAUGGAAAAAAGAGUUUUGCAAUGAAAAAUACCUAACUAGAAAAUGCAUACAAAAGAGGUUCACCGAAGAGCAGGGAGAUUGCCGAAAAGCUAGGAUUUCUUGAACAACUUAAGAGAAAAUUUUCGAAGUAAAAGGUUAACAAUGGCUUGAUCUGCCUUUUAUAUAAGGGAGUAACAAGUUCCAGUCGCUAGAUCGAGGCCCAUUUAAUCCCAGUCGUUAGUCCCUAGCAACAUCUGAGGCAUAGAAUUCAAAAGGUUUUUUAUACCAAUGCCUCAUAUGAAUGCGUGCUUCCCACGCACCAUCUCUGGUGCGUCCCUUUCAAAAGCCAUAACCAUAACCAUCAUUACGCAUUAAAUGCUACGGCUGUACGUACAUUGGAAAUUGUAACGGUUCGGCUACUUUUUUGGUAACGUGUAAAAAAUCAAAUCAUUGGCACAAUUAUUGAAAACAAUCAUCAAACAAACGAGCCUCAUCAAUUUAGCAUUAACCUAUCUUAGCUUCAAGUAAAAUUCAACUAUUACGAGACAACCAGCAUUGGCAGUUCAACAUUAACCUGCCUCGGCUUACAAGCAAACAUUCAUCUUUAGAUAAAAUGAGCCUUGAUAGUUCAACAAUCCCUCUACCUCAACUUGAAAUUAAUUUCAACUAUCGAAAACAAUGAGCCUCAGUGUUUUGGACUUGUUCCACCUUGGCUCACAAUCAAAUUUAGCAAUAAUCAACUUUUAAC
rnacentral:lncRNA from 1 species